GGACCCUUCUUUCUGUGAGUCUGGCCCAUGGAGGAAGCAGAUGAGCUGCAGAAGGGAAUCUACCCGGGUCUGAUCUAGACCAAGUUGUCUUUACCACAGGAGGCACAGCUCUUCUGGCAGAAGCCCCUAGCCCUUGAGGGCUUGCCCUCCUGGGCCCUGACUUGCUCAGGCUCAAGUUCACCCGGCAGCCGCCCCACCCCAAUGGGCAAAGUGAGCAAGCGUGUACAGCCAUGGCACUUACAAAACAGCUGGCUAAUUUGAGCAAGAGACAAAACAUUUGGAUGACUUACCCUAUAUUCUCCAGUCCUAUGAAGGGUCUAGAAGGUUAGCACAAUUCUACCUUUUUACUCUCAGCUUGGAGAUCAUGACUGGGAAACACCUUUCUAGGCCUGGAGUAUGUAUCUUUCUCCAUUAGAUGAGGGGAUUGCCUGAAAUGACUGUUGCUCCCAGCUGAUACAAUAUAAUAGUGGUGCUGCUUAAGGCAAGCUAAGUGCUAUCAAGGCACACUCAAUGUAAGAACCCCAAAUUGAAGCUGCUAUAAGACAGCAUCUCCCAACCUUCAUCUCUGCUCCCCAGGCACCCAGAGGGGAGGGGUGGUGAGAACAAGGUUUUUGUUUUUUUGUUUUUCAAUCUUAGCCCACCCUGCUACCCCAGAAGAGUGUUUUAUCCACUCCUGCAGAGAGCCCUUAAUUGAACCGCUUGGAAAACAUCCGCAGAUGGACCUCAAGCUCAGGUGACAGCGCGGGCCUACAGCUGCAGCCACCAGAGGCACCGAGCGCUGAAAACCUUCCAUUUUGAGGACCUGCCCUCUGCUUCUGUGUGCGACCAGUUCCGGAGAAUCCUGUGGAAGUCUGACUCCCUGUCCCUCAGGUGCCUGGCACUGAGCUUGCCUUCAGCAACUAUUGUCUGGUGAGAGACUGAAGCCGUCUGGUUUCCAGAGAGACUCGACCCCAUUCCAAAGGAGAGACAGGUGCUUCUCAGCUCCCCUUUUGUGACAGCUCCGAAGUUUACCCGUGUGCCUCAUGUCCCCACCCCAGUCAGGAGCCCAGAGCAGAGCCAGGGUAAAAGCGCGCACGGCAGAGGCAUGUCUGGGAAGGAGGACAGGAGGCAGGCGCAGACGCUCUUCCAGCCCCACCCUGCCUCGGGCGGGCCCUCACCCACGGAGCCCACAUUGUGGAUUUUGCCCAGGCCUGACGUCUGAUUAGGUAGCGUCCACUUCUGGAAGAGCUGCUGAAAGACAGCUGACUCGGCCCCAUCGUUCUGCACCUCCACCUGUGUGUUCGGGGGGUACUGCUUCGCUUUGAUAAAGUUCUGGGAAGAGAAAGCGG